UGGGGAAUAUUGCACAAUGGGCGCAAGCCUGAUGCAGCGACGCCGCGUGGGGGAUGACGGCCUUCGGGUUGUAAACCUCUUUCAGUAGGGACGAAGCGUGAGUGACGGUACCUACAGAAGAAGCACCGGCCAACUACGUGCCAGCAGCCGCGGUAAUACGUAGGGUGCGAGCGUUGUCCGGAAUUACUGGGCGUAAAGAGCUCGUAGGUGGUUUGUCGCGUUGUUCGUGAAAACCGGGGGCUUAACCCUCGGCGUGCGGGCGAUACGGGCAGACUGGAGUACUGCAGGGGAGACUGGAAUUCCUGGUGUAGCGGUGGAAUGCGCAGAUAUCAGGAGGAACACCGGUGGCGAAGGCGGGUCUCUGGGCAGUAACUGACGCUGAGGAGCGAAAGCGUGGGGAGCGAACAGGAUUAGAUACCCCCGUAGUCC
rnacentral:rRNA from 1 species